rnacentral:rRNA from 1 species
CCUACGGGUGGCAGCAGUAGGUAAUCUUUCACAAUGGGCGAAAGCCUGAUGGAGCAACGCCGCGUGCAGGAUGAAGGCCUUCGGGUUGUAAACUGCUUUUAUAAGCGAGAAAUAUGAUGGUAACUUAUGACUAAGGAUCGGCUAACUACGGGCCAGCAGCCGCGGGCAUACGUAGGAUCCGAGCAUUCUCCAGAGUGACUGGUGGUAAAGAGUUGCGUAGGUGGCAUAAUAAGUAGCGAGUGAAAUCUGGUGGCUCAACCAUUCAGACUAUUAGCUAAACUGUUAAGCUAGAGACCGUUAGGGGUAACUGGAAUUUCUAGUGUAGGAGUGAAAUCCGUAGAUAUUAGAAGGAAUACCAAUAGCGUAGGCAGGUUACUGGGAAGGUUCUGACACUAAGGUACGAAAGCGUAGGGAGCAAACGGGAUUAGAUACCCCGGUAGUC